CCUACGGGCGGCAGUAGUGAGGAAUAUUGGUCAAUGGGCGGAAGCCUGAACCAGCCAAGUAGCGUGCAGGAUGACGGCCCUACGGGUUGUAAACUGCUUUUAUACGGGAAUAACGCGCCUUACGUGUAGGGCUUUGCAUGUACCGUAUGAAUAAGGAUCGGCUAAUUCCGUGCCAGCAGCCGCGGUAAUACGGAGGGUCCGGGCGUUAUCCGGAUUUAUUGGGUUUAAAGGGAGCGUAGGCCGGAUGUCAAGCGUGCUGUGAAAUGUUCGGGCUCAACCCGGGCCUUGCAGCGCGAACUGGCAUGCUUGAGUCCGCGGAAGGCAGGCGGAAUUCGUGGUGUAGCGGUGAAAUGCUUAGAUAUGACGAAGAACCCCGAUUGCGAAGGCAGCUUGCUGCAGCGGAACUGACGCUGAUGCUCGAAAGCGCGGGUAUCGAACAGGAAUAGAUACCCCAGUAGUC
rnacentral:rRNA from 1 species